UACGGAGGGUGCAAGCGUUAUCCGGAUUCACUGGGUUUAAAGGGUGCGUAGGUGGGUCUGUAAGUCCGUGGUGAAAUCUCCGAGCUUAACUUGGAAACUGCCAUGGAUACUAUAGGUCUUGAAUACUGUGGAGGUCAGCGGAAUAUGUCAUGGUAGCGGUGAAAUGCUUAGAUAUGUCAUGGAACACCGAUUGCGAAGGCAGCUGACUGGACCUGUAUUGACGCUGAGACGCGAAAGCGUGGGGAGCAAACAGG
rnacentral:rRNA from 1 species